AGGGAUCAUUACUGAGUGAGGGUUUCGGCCCGACCUCCAACCCCUAUGUAUUCCGACUCUGUUGCCUCGGGGGCGACCCUGCCUUCGGGCGUUGGGGCCCCCGGUGGACGCCAUAACUCUGCAUCUUUGCGUCUGAGUAACAUUUUGAAUUAAAUCAAAACUUUCAACAACGGAUCUCUUGGUUCUGGCAUCGAUGAAGAACGCAGCGAAAUGCGAUAAGUAAUGUGAAUUGCAGAAUUCAGUGAAUCAUCGAAUCUUUGAACGCACAUUGCGCCCCUUGGUAUUCCGAGGGGCAUGCCUGUUCGAGCGUCAUUACACCACUCAAGCCUCGCUUGGUAUUGGGCGCCGCGCUUCGGCGCGCGCCUCAAUGUAUCCGGCUGAGCCGUCCGUCUCUAAGCGUUGUGGCACUAUGUUUCCGCUUCGGAGGUCGGGAGGUCUCGCGCCGUUAAACACCCCAUCAAAGGUUGACCUCGGAUCAGGUAGGGAUACCCGCUGAACUUAA
rnacentral:rRNA from 1 species